rnacentral:pre_miRNA from 1 species
UACGUACUUACGUACGUACAUACGUAUGUAUGAACGUACGUAACUACGAAUGUAUGUACGUACGUAACUACGUA